CCCCGCUCCAACCGCCUCUCCUCCGCUCCCCUCCCCUCUCACGAACCCUAGUGCCGCCACACCCCGCACAGCGGCCGCAUCCCUUCCCGCUCUCAACUCGCCGCGCAGCCGCCGCAUCCCUGCCCGCUCUCCACCCACCUCGGUCGCCCCCUCUCACACCUAUCCUCUGCCCCGAGACCCCCAGCCACACAAUCCCAACUCCGGCGGUCUCCUCUCCCUCCAGCGCCGCCGCUCUACCCUCUUCCAUGACCCUCACCUUCCUUCCUCUUCAAAGGAAGGGAUGGGAAGGGAAGGGGAGGGGAGGCCCCAGAUCGAGCGGAGCGACACAGCGGCACCGGCACGGGUGCGCCGUCGUCUACCUGGUCCUCGAACCGGCCGUUCCCCUACUGACCAUGGCCUCCUCCCCCUCUCUCUGUAUCUCCCACACGGCGGCGCGGUGCAACCGGCGGCGAUGGCUUUCUGGCAGGCACGCCACUUCCUGUUUUGCGGCGUGCGCGGCACCCUCCUCGACUUCAACUCCCAAGCAUCCUUGUGUGUUGUGUCUGAAAAUCCCGUGGCUAAUGCAAGACAUGCCCCUUGUUUUCUCAAAAUCAAUGAAUGGUUCCAGGCAAAUAACUAGGUCUGCAAGAAUGAUUUUAUACGUUCAAUGCUCGUUCAGUUUGGUGCUUGUUUGAAUGUUUCUGCAUUAAGCUUUCUUAGACUCCUCGAAUUCAACUGCGCCAGCGGUUAUGAAUUCACAGUAUACUUGAUAUACUCCUCAAAUUCAACUGAGCCCGCGGUUAUGAAUUCACAGUAUACUUGAUAUAGGGCAAUAUCGAUGUCUUCUGAACCUUUAGAUCAGUAUUUCAAAAGAGCAUCAACGGAGUGAGAGUUCAUUUCUUUAGAGCAUUUGUUAUAAUCCACCAUUUUGUAUUUGCCAAUUGCCUUAAUUUUUCUCUAUCCACUAGGCCCUCGGCAUUCUUAGAAGGUCGUCUCAUAAUUUCUGUGAUUCUUCCCUCUAUAGAUGGCUUAAAAUGGAGGCUUACAUGCCCAAGGCAGGUGGUUAAGGCCCUCUUUAGUUGGUGUGGCAGUGGUGAGUGGAAUGCACGAUGCAGCAGCCUGGAGAAGUGGCCAACACGGCUUAGGAAGCGCCCCACCUGUGAAGCGAUACAUCUGAUGCCAACAUACCAAGGGACUUGAACUCAUGAACAAGGCAUCAUCCUUAUUGCAAGAUAUAAUCCUGGCCGGCGGAAGUACAGUGACACAAAGAACCCGGGCGCCGUCUGCUUCCUGCAUCGGCAAUCAAGCGGCGGAGCUUCCAAUGGGCAGAAAUGCGUGCGUGUUGGACUUAUGACACAACUGAAUGAGUUCACCUAAGUAUCUUGAUGUGUCCUCGUAUAUGUUUGGCUUUUUGUUGGAAUGUUGUUGGUUGUCCUCUGAAGCGACACUUCUGAUGCCAACAUACCAAGGUGAGCUUCACCUACUUCCCCACUCUGUAUAUAUGCAAGCCUGUGUGAUGUACUCUGCUUCUUCCUCCCCUUUUAAUUAAUUAAUCUCUUACUAAGCAGAGCAUGCUCUUUAGGUUAAUAGCACAAACGAUAUAGUUGAAUUAGUCUUCUUUUACUGGUGGU